CGGAGCUGGCGGCGUUGCAGAGGAGGCGGCACGGCCGCAGCAGAGCCGGGGCUGAGGGGCACAGCGAGGCUCGGCCGGCGGAGCGGCGGCAUGCGGCGGUGUCGGGGCGCGGGGCUGGCGGCGCUGCCCGCGCUGCUGCUGCUCGUGGCUUCAAGCAGAGCCCAGGUGGAGCAGGAGCCACUUCUGGAGACCACCGAGGGCAACAGCAUCAACAUCACCUGCUCACACCCCAAAAAACUGAUCGGCGAAUACAUCCAUUUCUACCGUCAGCUCCCGGGCCGAGCACCCGAAUUCCUCACCCUCGCUGCUAGAGGCUCCAAGGAGGUGCCGGCCAUAGCGGGAGAGCUGCGGGUGUCGGAAGACCGGCGCUGGAGCGCGCUGCGGCUCGGCUGGCCCCGGCGCGGGGACGCGGCCGUGUAUUACUGCGCGCUGGGCCACGGGCAGAGGAGCCGGGGCUGCGGCCGGGCACGAACCGGCGCGGGCGGGGCCGGGCGGGGCCAGCAGGGGGCGCUGCCGCUCCGGCCGCCGGGCCCCGCGCGGCCCCGCAGCUCCUUCCUCUGCCCCGAGCCCGCCCGCACCGGCCCCGCACGGUCUGGCUGUGCAGCAGAGCUGGCCGUUCCAGCUGCGGAGGUGAGGACUCCACUGCGAGCUGAGCGGGAACAGCCCCUUGCCAUGAGCGAGGCCCCAGAGGCACGGAAUGCUCCCGGUGCCGACGGCUGA